AUUGAACGCUGGCGGCAUGCCUAACACAUGCAAGUCGAACGAGUGGCGGACGGGUGAGUAAUGUCUGGGAACCUGCCUAAUCGAGGGGGCUAACUACUGGAAACGUUAGCUAAUACCGCAUACCAUUCUAUCUGCCCAGGUGGGAUUAGCUAGUCGUUGGGGUAAAGGCCCACCAAGGCGACGAUCCAUAGCUGGUCUGAGAGGAUGACCAGCCACACUGGGACUGAGACACGGCCCAGACUCCUACGGGAGGCAGCAGUGGGGAAUAUUGGACAAUGGGCGAAAGCCUGAUGCAGCAAUGCCGCGUGUAUGAAGAAGGCCUUCGGGUUGUAAAGGACUUUUGUCAAGGAAGCGGUACCUGAAGAAGAAGCACCGGCUAACUACGUGCCAGCAGCCGCGGUAAUAC
rnacentral:rRNA from 1 species